CAAGUAAGACAGACAAUCGCAGCUGAUGAUUCAGGUGAGGAAAGUCCGGGCUUCACAGGGCAGGAUGCCGGAUAACGUCCGGUGGAGGUGACUCCAAGGCUAGUGCAACAGAGAUAUACCGCCGGUGGUAUCGCCGGUAAGGGUGGAAAGGCAGUGUAAGAGACUACCGCCCGCCUGGUAACAGACGGGGCAGAUGUAAACCCCAUCCGAAGCAAGACCAAGCAGAAGCAUAUGGUGGCCCGCCAGCUUCAGGUAGGUCGCUUGAGCGUACUGGCAACAGUACGCCUAGAUAGAUGAUUGUCCAACGACAUAACCCGGCUUAUCGUUUUGCUUGUUGU
rnacentral:RNase_P_RNA from 1 species